AUUCAACUGACGAGUCUCAAAUAGGAAAAAACACGUGUCCUGGAU
rnacentral:hammerhead_ribozyme from 1 species